ACGGACGCAAAGCCGCGAGGUGGAGCAAAUCCUAAAAAGCCGGUCUCAGUUCGGAUUGCAGGCUGCAAUUCGCCUGCAUGAAGUCGGAAUCGCUAGUAAUCGCAGGUCAGCAUACUGCGGUGAAUACGUUCCCGGGCCUU
rnacentral:rRNA from 1 species